rnacentral:rRNA from 1 species
UACGGAGGGAGCUAGCGUUGUUCGGCAUUACUGGGCGUAAAGCGCGCGUAGGCGGCUUUUCAAGUCAGGGGUGAAAUCCCGGGGCUCAACCCCGGAACUGCCUUUGAAACUGGAUGGCUAGAAUACUGGAGAGGUGAGUGGAAUUCCGAGUGUAGAGGUGAAAUUCGUAGAUAUUCGGAAGAACACCAGUGGCGAAGGCGACUCACUGGACAGUUAUUGACGCUGAGGUGCGAAAGCGUGGGGAG